GACGAAGGUGGCGAGCGUUGUUCGGAAUCACUGGGCAUAAAGCGCACGUAGGUGGCGGCGUAAGUCGGGUGUGAAAUCCCUCGGCCUAACCGAGGAACUGCGCCCGAUACUGCGUUGCUUGAGGAUCAGAGGGGUGCAUGGAAUUUCCGGUGGAGCGGUGAAAUGCGUUGAUAUCGGAAGGAACGUCGGCGGCGAAAGCGGUGCACUGGCUGAUCUCUGACGCUGAGGUGCGAAAGCCAGGGGAGCAAGCGGG
rnacentral:rRNA from 1 species